CCUACGGGUGGCAGCAGUGAGGAAUAUUGGUCAAUGGGCGCGAGCCUGAACCAGCCAAGUAGCGUGAAGGAUGACUGCCCUACGGGUUGUAACCUUCUUUUAUAAAGGAAUAAAGUGAGGCACGUGUGCCUUUUUGUAUGUACUUUAUGUAUAAGGAUAGGCUAACUCCGUGCCAGCAGCCGCGCUACUACGGAGGAUCCGCGCGUUAUCCGGAUUUGUUGGGUUUAAAGGGAGCGUAGAUGGGUUGUUAAGUCAGUGGUGAAAGUUUGCGGCUCAACCGUAAAAUUGCAAUUGAUACUGGCAGCCUUGAGUACAGUGGAGGUAGGCGGAAUUCGUGGUGUAGCGGUGAAAUGCUUAGAUAUCACGAAGAACUCCGAUUGCGAAGGCAGCUUACUAAACUGCCACUGACAUUGAUGCUCGAAAGUGUGGGUAGCAAACAGGAUUAGAUACCCCUGUAGUC
rnacentral:rRNA from 1 species